CAACCCUCAAGUCCCCUGUGGACUCGGUGGGGACCGGCGAGACAGUCGCGGAUCUUCUUCCGCAGCGAGUCGCCGCCCCCCAAAUGACUUGGCGGCCUCGUCGCGGCCCUCCUCUGCGUAGUAUAGCACACCUCGCAACAGGAGCCCGGCGAAUGGCCACUGCCGUAAAACCCCCCAACUUUUUCAG
rnacentral:misc_RNA from 1 species